rnacentral:rRNA from 1 species
UACGGAGGGUGCAAGCGUUAUCCGGAUUCACUGGGUUUAAAGGGUGCGUAGGAGGGCAGGUAAGUCCGUGGUGAAAUCUCCAAGCUUAACUUGGGAACUGCCGUGGAUACUAUCAGUCUUGAAUACUGUGGAGGUAAGCGGAAUAUGUCAUGUAGCGGUGAAAUGCUUAGAUAUGACAUAGAACACCGAUAGCGAAGGCAGCUUGCUACACAGUCAUUGACACUGAGGCACGAAAGCGUGGGGAGCAAACAGG